rnacentral:lncRNA from 1 species
CUGCUCCAUGUGUUGUCAACUGGUCUCACUCAUGUAGUUAGAUUCAGCAAGUGCCUGAUUUAGGAUACACAGUCUGAGAUGAAUUUCUUCACGUGUCCGAAACCAAGAUGCUGACUGUUGGUUCCAUGUGGCCUCUCUUUCCAUGUGGUCUUUCAUACUGCAAGAGCUCUUUCUUCACGUGGCCACUGUCUCCAGCAGGAUAGACUGGUCUUCUUUUUGUAGCUGCUCAGAGUACUGAAACCCAUAUUUCAUUUGUUUGUCUCAAUGUCCCUCAUGAAAGUUGACCCAGACGGGUCCGCAGAACAACUUUUGCUGAGAAGGCAAAGGAAAUUCUCGCCCAAAUUGUGGAGAAGGCAGUCGAACCAAUUAAACCUAAAGCUAAAACUGUAAUAGAAAAGAACUUUCAAGCUCGCAAUGAAAAGGCUAUGCAUGGAUUUAUCUCAUCACAGCCACUAGCCACACCUCCACUCGUGCAGUGCGCCUGCGAGCCGAGCAGAAACCAAUGGCCCAUCGUAGUGAAUUUCUCGGGUAAAGUGACAUUCUCCGCUUUUGAAUGCUCCCUUCGCCCAGCCGCCAACCCCUCGCCCCAAUUUCCAUUUUAAAUGAAAGUCUCCCACUU